AGCAGUAGCCGCGGGAAUACAGAGGGUGCGAGCGUUAAUCGGAUUUACUGGGCGUAAAGCGUGCGUAGGCGGCUUUUUAAGUCGGAUGUGAAAUCCCUGAGCUUAACUUAGGAAUUGCAUUCGAUACUGGGAAGCUAGAGUAUGGGAGAGGAUGGUAGAAUUCCAGGUGUAGCGGUGAAAUGCGUAGAGAUCUGGAGGAAUACCGAUGGCGAAGGCAGCCAUCUGGCCUAAUACUGACGCUGAGGUACGAAAGCAUGGGGAGCGAACAGGAUUAGAUACCCCAGUAGUCCCUGUCUCUUAUAC
rnacentral:rRNA from 1 species